rnacentral:rRNA from 1 species
UUAAACUGAAGAGUUUGAUCCUGGCUCAGAUUGAACGCUGGCGGCAUGCCUUACACAUGCAAGUCGAACGGCAGCACGGGUGCUUGCACCUGGUGGCGAGUGGCGAACGGGUGAGUAAUACAUCGGAACGUGUCCUGUAGUGGGGGAUAGCCCGGCGAAAGCCGGAUUAAUACCGCAUACGAUCUACGGAUGAAAGCGGGGGAUCUUCGGACCUCGCGCUAUAGGGGCGGCCGAUGGCGGAUUAGCUAGUUGGUGAGGUAAAGGCUCACCAAGGCGACGAUCCGUAGCUGGUCUGAGAGGACGACCAGCCACACUGGGACUGAGACACGGCCCAGACUCCUACGGGAGGCA